GUUCAUUUGUUUCUAGGGUUUGAAAUGCCUUUGUGUUUUUAAUGCGCUAGACAAAUAAACAUGCUUUGCCUUGUUUUUCCUUAGUCAGCCAGGCCGUAUUGACAUACUUGGAGAUCAUAAAUGGUCGUCAUAAUGUCGGUGGCUGGCAUUAAUUAGCUAACACGUCUUAAAUUGAAUAGUGAGAGGAUAAAUAAACCAGUUGUCCUGGGUCGAACAAUUACCCUAAUGAUGACAGAGCUUGCUCUUUUAAAGGACUUCGGCUCUGGGCUGAGACGCGAAAGUGUUCCGUAACUGCGCUGAUUUUGUCAUGGAGAAUGACGAAUGGUUAAUUAACUUUUUCAGGCUAAAAUUCAUUAAGAAAUCUGUAAUUUCAUAGGUUGCUGAUCGCCACACACAUACAUUACGUGUGUCAUAUGUAAAAGAGGACAGGUGCAGCGCGUUCUCACAUCCACGCCUGUAUCCGAUUUAUCAAUCUGCAAUGACAUGUACGCUCAUUUCGACCAGGUGCGACCGUUUUGUGAGUCACAGUUAGAGAUUAUCGUAAGUCUCUCCCAACGUUGGAAUCUGAGAUAUUUUCUGAAAAGGUUUCAUGAAUUAGGUCCAAUGUCUCAGACACCUAGACAAAUCGUCUUUGUUUUUUGUGGCCUUGGAUAUGAGUUUCUGCUGGGUGCGAAUGACUGGGAUUGGGUCUCCUCUAUCACUAGAAGACUGUACUCUUGCAACGUUCUGUACAAAGCAGGGACAGAAUUUCAUGCAGAAAUUCCCUUCAUUGCCAAGAGCCCCCACAUAUAAUGGAACAGGCAAGAGAUCAUUAAAACACACCAUAUGAGUGACACUUGAGUCCUGACAAUGAUGUUGCAGAGCUCUGCAGCUCCGUUAAGGUGUUGUUGGCCUCUUGGCUGCCUCCCUUCUUCCUUGGCCUGCCAUCAACACUGGUGCAACGGUGUGAUCUUGGCGAUGUCCCAGUGGUGCCAUAUUCCAUCCACUUCGUAUUGAUGAUCUUCCCAGUGUAACAGAACACAUCAUUGUCCGUUUGAAAAACAGAUGUUCUGUUCAGCUACAUCUUUUUGAGAGAGAGCCUCACAUUAUCCUCAAGAAUUCUCAGAUCCUAAUGCCAGCGCCUCCAUGCUUAAUGGUUGGUAUAAAGCUCUUCCGUUUAAAGUCUCCGGACCUGAAUUCAAUUGAAAACCUGUGGGUAGAAUUGAAGAGAGGAGUCCACAAGCACAAACCUAAGCUAAUCAAUGAGCUUGAAAUAUGCUGCAUGGAGGAGUUGUGCAAGAUGCCUCCAAAAGAGAGUGUCAACCUUGUCUGGCUUUACAGGAAGAAGCUCAGUGCUGUUAUCCACUCCAGGACUUCAGGGGAGUCUUCACAAAAUAUUGACUGUAUACUACAAGUACACUACACAUUCAAUGUUUUGUUUGAGUAAUGAUUGCAUUGUUAGGAAACUAUAUGGCUCCCCGUUAUUUUUGAGUUCAUUAUUUGUGUUGUUAAUUUUUUGCAUUCACUUUAGCUCAAUUUCAUGAAGCAUGCCAAUAGUGCUUGAGUUUACUGUACAGGGAUCUUGCUUCCUGUCUUCCUGAAUAGGCCUUGUCAAAAUAAAAUUAUAAUUGGAAAAGAUCAUCUUCACUGGUAAACGUGUUUACAUGGGUAUUUUUUGGCUCUCAGGUCUCAAGUCUUUUAUU